rnacentral:lncRNA from 1 species
AAUGAAGACUGAGGUGUCUGCUUUGCAGUUUUUUUUUUUCUUUUCUUGUCUUUUUUUUUUUUUUUCCUAAUCAUGUGGACAUCUCUGAGAAUGAGGGGACUGGGUGACUUUGCAGUGUCUGCUUUCUAAGUUUCAAAGUGACUUUCCAGGCAAGCUGCGCAUAUCUUGGGAUCUUCACAGCACAGUGGCUGGGAAGGCAGGCGGACCCGUCUAUCAGCUUCUCCCUGAAUAACUGGGAGCUGAAACAGGAAGCCCCAUGACACAGUUGAUCGAAAAUGACACAGACACAGAAAAAUCAGGACGUGCCCCCAGCAGCACCCCUACCUGCUGCCUGCUGAUCACGGCUGGGAGGCCCGUCCAGGGUUCCCACCCGGGAACGGACUCUUAGCUACUCAGUGCUCACGGGUGCUGGGCCUGCAGAGCUUUUCGGAUGCUCUCUUACAGCUGGUGGGAUUCUUGCGGGGGCAGGGAUCGAGUCAAACCUUGGAAAUGACGUCAUUCUGAACUCAUCUGCCUUUAUCCAGAAGACUACCAAAGCAAACCAGAGGACCAGAGAACAGCAGCUGCUCUGGACAAAGAGGGGAGGACACCCACACCCACAUACCAAGUUCUGGUUGACUUCUACAGCAGAAGAAGCAGGAGACACAAGAAGACUCAGAGGGACUGAAAUAUAAGAAGAUCGAUGCCAGAUGUUGUUGUGAUGACAACCUGUUGGGUUGAAGGACCCCAGGAAGACACAGUCCAGAUUCACAGGGACAGAGCCACUCACCUAUUGUCACAUGCAGCACAGAAUAAUGCAGAGGCAUGGCAUCAUAACAAUUCCUGAAUGGUGCUUCUCAGAAGAUGGUACUUCUUGGGGUCUGGUACCUGGACUAGUGAGGCUUCUCAGGGGAUGGGACCCCAACCCAGAAUGACAACAUCACCUGAUAACUUCAUCUUCAUCAUUAUCAUCAUCAUCAUCAUUGUUGUUAUUCCUUUUGUUUUGUUUUGAGAUUGUAAUAAAAUUAUAUCAUUUCUCCAUUG